rnacentral:rRNA from 1 species
GGUAGGGGAGCGUUCUGUAAGCCGAUGAAGGUGUGUUGAGAAGCAUGCUGGAGGUAUCAGAAGUGCGAAUGCUGACGUGAGUAACGACAAAACGGGUGAAAAACCCGUUCGCCGAAAGACCAAGGGUUCCAGUCCAACGUUAAUCGGGGCUGGGUGAGUCGACCCCUAAGGCGAGGCCGAAAGGCGUAGUCGAUGGGAAAAUGGUUAAUAUUCCAUUACUUCUGUGUAAUGCGAUGAGAGGACGGAGAAGGCUAAAUCAGCCUGGCGUUGGUUGUCCAGGUGAAAGGAUGUAGGCAUGUAUCUUAGGCAAAUCCGGGGUACUCUAUGCUGAGAUCUGAUAGCAAGCUGUACUUGUAUAGCGAAGUGGUUGAUGCCAUGCUUCCAGGAAAAGUCUCUAAGCUUCAGUUACACAGGAAUCGUACCCGAAACCGACACAGGUGGUCAGGUCGAGUAGACCAAGGCGCUUGAGAGAACUCUGCUGAAGGAACUAGGCAAAAUGGUACCGUAACUUCGGGAGAAGGUACGCUGUUGUUGGUGAUGGAACUCGCUUCCUGAGCUGACGACAGCCGCAGAAACCAGGCCGCUGCAACUGUUUAUUAAAAACAUAGCACUCUGCAAACACGAAAGUGGACGUAUAGGGUGUGAUGCCUGCCCGGUGCUGGAAGGUUAAUUGAUGGGGUUAGCGUAAGCGAAGCUCUUGAUCGAAGCCCCAGUAAACGGCGGCCGUAACUAUAACGGUCCUAAGGUAGCGAAAUUCCUUGUCGGGUAAGUUCCGACCUGCACGAAUGGCAUAAUGAUGGCGGCGCUGUCUCCAGCAGAGGCUCAGUGAAAUCGAAAUCGCUGUGAAGAUGCAGUGUACCCGCGGCUAGACGGAAAGACCCCGUGAACCUUUACUGCAGCUUGACACUGAACUUUGACCUUACUUGUGUAGGAUAGGUGGGAGGCUUUGAAGCUGGAACGCUAGUUCCAGUGGAGCCGUCCUUGAAAUACCACCCUGGUAAUGUUGAGGUUCUAACUCUGUCCCGUGAUCCGGGACGAGGACCGUGUCUGGUGGGUAGUUUGACUGGGGCGGUCUCCUCCUAAAGAGUAACGGAGGAGUACGAAGGUGCGCUCAGCGUGGUCGGAAAUCACGCGUAGAGUAUAAAGGCAAAAGCGCGCUUAACUGCGAGACCCACAAGUCGAGCAGGUACGAAAGUAGGUCUUAGUGAUCCGGUGGUUCUGUAUGGAAGGGCCAUCGCUCAACGGAUAAAAGGUACUCUGGGGAUAACAGGCUGAUACCGCCCAAGAGUUCAUAUCGACGGCGGUGUUUGGCACCUCGAUGUCGGCUCAUCUCAUCCUGGGGCUGAAGCAGGUCCCAAGGGUAUGGCUGUUCGCCAUUUAAAGAGGUACGCGAGCUGGGUUUAGAACGUCGUGAGACAGUUCGGUCCCUAUCUACCGUGGGCGCUGGAAAUUUGAGAGGAUCUGCUCCUAGUACGAGAGGACCAGAGUGGACGAACCUCUGGUGUACCGGUUGUGACGCCAGUCGCAUCGCCGGGUAGCUAUGUUCGGAAGGGAUAACCGCUGAAAGCAUCUAAGCGGGAAGCCUACCUCAAGAUAAGAUUUCCCUAGGACUUUAUGUCCUCUAAAGAGCCGUUCGAGACUAGGACGUUGAUAGGUUGGAUGUGGAAGCAUAGUGAUAUGUGAAGCUGACCAAUACUAAUUGCUCGUGAGGCUUGACUAU